GGGUACUAGCAGAGAACGUUACCAUUUUAAUCUGCCAGGUAUUGUUGAUGAACCACUCAAAUGCGCUUUCCGCGUGUAUUCGGAACUACCCUUAGGGGACACACACACAGAAGAACGGCUCUACCAGUCUCUGAUUAGCGGACUCCCGAGUCAUGUGGAUGGCGUUCGCCCACGUGUCGUGUGCUCCCACCGUACGAUCUCGAAUGGGACGGCGUUUUUUCAGCUACAGUUGCAGGGUGGCGCCAUCUACGACUGCAGUUUCCCCGACACUAUUCCUCACAAUGAGCUACAGCCAGGAAAUACGCCCCAAGACUGAAGGCUGCCUUCCCCAGCGAGGCAGAAAACUCGUUACGGCAACAAAGCAGGAAUACUCUCCACAACUAUCUGAAAAAAUUUUGUAAUAAUGCAAUAAAUAUGGGUACAUGACUUUCAA